GACGAACGCUGGCGGCGUGCUUAACACAUGCAAGUCGAACGAGUGGCGAACGGGUGAGUAAUACGUGAGUACCCUGCCCUAUUUUUGGGUUAAGCCUUGGAAACGGGGUCUAAUACCGGCUAACGGGGGAUGGGCUCGCGGCCUAUCAGCUUGUUGGUGGGGUGCUAGCCUACCAAGGCGGUGACGGGUAGCCGGCCGGAGAGGGUGACCGGCAACAAUGGGAGGGGGAUACGGCCCAGACUGCUACGGGAGGCAGAAGUUGGGGAUAGUGCACAAUGGGGGAAAGGCAGAGGCAGCGACGCCGCGUGGGGUAUGAAGGCGUACAGGUUGUAAACCUCUUACGCUAUCGAACGGGUAGGUGGCGGAGAAGCGCCGGUUAACUACGUGCCAGCAGCCGCGGUAAUAC
rnacentral:rRNA from 1 species